GUGAAUGAAACAGUCUUGGGAGAGAAGCGGUUGGUGUAUGGAACCCUGUGCACUUGAUGAAGUGCCAGCACUACACCCCUAUCGAAUCUGAGAAUCAGAGCAAGGUUCCUGUAGUAAACAAACUUGUGCUUGCUAGGCACUAUCUUGAGGAAUGUGUAUCCAAAUCUUGUCCUUAUCAAAAGUUACCUGAGCUCCUAGCUUGUUCAACAAAUUCCAUCUCAUAGGAGGUGUGCUUCUGCUUGCAGGAUGCCUGCCAUUGCCAGCGUGAACAAAAUCUGCUUAUAUCAGAGAUACCGUCCUGAUAAAUUAUUUGGAUAUUUCCAACACCUGAUAACAGUCUCUGGCCUAAAAUUGUUCAGUUAAAGAUAGGGCUAAUCUCCCUACAUGAAGGCUAAUUUUUCCAGGAUGCUCCUAUCUCAAAGAAAGUUUAGUCAUCACAUUGUGAUCAAGAGUUCCUCUCCUUAAUCACCUUAGCACUUUCAAGCGUGGUCAUCCUGACCUAGAUAAAAUACAUGUUUGUUGUAUUUAAUGAUAAAGAUACAAAGACUUGUAACCUUUGUAGGUUAGUUCUUACCUGACUGACAUUAUGUUUGACAUUGUUUUGAAGAAGUAAUAAAACAAAAUAUUCUGUUAAUAUAUCCUUAUAAGGGUAGCCACUGAAUUUUAUAAUAUGAUUAAUGCUUGCCUACAAGACCAUAGUAGCCUUUAGAUAUUGUGGAUGAUAACUGUGAUGUACCACUGAAGAUGUGGAAGCAUGUUAUAAGACUGUUCUGUUUAACAAGGCAAAAGAAAACACAACAAUGGAAAAACUGUGCCUGUUUUACAGUCCUUAUAAAUGUCAAAAGGAACAGGGACCCCCACACCAGGCCCAAUUAGCCUAAAAUGCGACUGACAAGCAUCAAGACAUUCCCCUUUAUAUUUCUUAUCUGUCUGUGCAGUCUCCUCUUGUUGGCCUUGCAUUCCACAGCAAUCUUUGGUUGAGACAGAAGGAGUGUUUUUAAAAGACAAAGACUGUUGGAUGAAAUAAGCGAGGCUAUCUAUCCCAAGCCCAAGGACUAACAGUGGACCAUCACGAUACUAGAAGGACCCUAGAUGACAUGGAAGAUGGAACGUUACGAAUAUGUAAUACAUGUGACAGAUUAUAGUGCAGGAACGAUCAACCAGUGGAGCAUUUUUGAAGAGUUAUCCCAAUGUUAUCCCAGUGCUGCCAAUAAGAAUAUGUGAUUUAAGGUAAUAAGACUUUUGCUGUUAAGUCUCUCUGCACAG
ensembl:lncRNA